rnacentral:rRNA from 1 species
GACGAACGCUGGCGGCGUGCUUAACACAUGCAAGUCGAACGGGUCUGCCCUGUUUUUUGCGGGGUGGGUCAGUGGCGAACGGGUGAGUAACACGUGAGUAACCUGCCCCUCACUUCUGGAUAACCGCUUGAAAGGGUGGCUAAUACGGGGUGUUCUGGCUGUGCCGCAUGGUGUGGCUGGGAAAGAUUCACUUUUGUGGUGUUUUGGUGGGGGAUGGGCUCGCGGCCUAUCAGCUUGUUGGUGGGGUGAUGGCCUGCCAAGGCUUUGACGGGUAGCCGGCCUGAGAGGGUGGGCGGUCACACUGGGACUGAGAUACGGCCCAGACUCCUGCGGGAGGCAGCAGUGGGGGGUAUUGCACAAUGGGCGGAAGCCUGAUGCAGCGACGUCGCGUGAGGGAUGGAGGCCUCCGGGUUGUGAACCUCUUUCGCCGGUGAAGAAGGUCCUGCUCUUUGUGGUGGGGUUGACGGUAGCCGGGUUAUGAAGCGCCGGCUAACUACGUG